rnacentral:rRNA from 1 species
AGCAGCCGCGGUAAUUCCAGCUCCAAUAGCGUAUAUUAAAGUUGUUGCAGUUAAAAAGCUCGUAGUUGAAUUUCGGGGUCAGCAAGUUGGUCGUGCCACCGGUAUGCACUGGCUUUGCUGAUUCCUCCUUCUUGUAGAACCGUAAUGCCAUUAAGUUGGUGUUGCGGGGAAACAGGACUGUUACUUUGAAAAAAUUAGAGUGUUUAAAGCAGGCUAAGGCUUGAAUACAUUAACAUGGAAUAAUGAAAUAGGACGACGAUCCUAUUUUGUUGGUUUCUAGGAUUGACGUAAUGAUUAAUAGGGAUAGUUGGGGGCAUUAGUAUUCAAUUGUCAGAGGUGAAAUUCUUGGAUUUAUUGAAGACUGCCUACUGCGAAAGCAUUUGCCAAGGAUGUUUUCAUUAAUCAAGAACGAAAGUUAGGGGAUCGAAGACGAUCAGAUACCGUCGUAGUCUUAACCAUAAACUAUGCCGACUAGGGAUCGGAUGAUGUUAAUUUUAUAAUGACUCA